rnacentral:lncRNA from 1 species
UUGACUCUAAACAAGCUAGGUGGGAGCUUGAAAAGGAACGGGUCAAACGGAUCAUGGAUGCGAAGAAUGUUUGCGCGGACGCGAGGGUAAAACGGCUUAUGGAAUUUACGUGGCUAUGAAUCAGCAAAUUAUUAAGGCAAGGUAUUAAAACGGGUCAAUACUUUGACCCGCGCCAGGUUCAUUUUGGAUGCCGAGAGACGAUCAAGCUCAUCGAAGAACCGAACACGAUAUAGUUACAUGCUUCCGCACUUUGCCACGUUGUAUAUUUUAAACAACGAAUUCGAUCACGUUUUGUAGAAUAACUUAUGAAUUGUAAAAGUUUUAAUUUACUCAA